CAGGCCUAACACAUGCAAGUCGCACGAGAAAGGGGCUUCGGCCCUGAGUAAAGUGGCGCACGGGUGAGUAACACGUGACUUAUCUACCCUCGAGUGGGGAAUAACCUAGGGAAACCUGGGCUAAUACCGCAUAACACUUACGAGUCAAAGCAGCAAUGCGCUUGGGGAGGAGGUCGCGGCAGAUUAGCUAGUUGGUGGGGUAAAGGCCUACCAAGGCGAUGAUCUGUAUCCGGCCUGAGAGGGCGCACGGACACACUGGAACUGAAACACGGUCCAGACUCCUACGGGAGGCAGCAGUGGGGAAUUUUGCGCAAUGGGGGAAACCCUGACGCAGCAACGCCGCGUGGAGGAUGAAGUCUCUUGGGACGUAAACUCCUUUCGAUCGGGACGAUAAUGACGGUACCGAUAGAAGAAGCCCCGGCUAACUUCGUGCCAGCAGCCGCGGUAAU
rnacentral:rRNA from 1 species